UACGUAGGGGGCAAGCGUUGUCCGGAAUUAUUGGGCGUAAAGCGCGCGCAGGCGGUUUCUUAAGUCUGGUGUGAAAGCCCGCAGCUCAACUGCGGAGGGCCACUGGAAACUGGGGAGCUUGAGUGUAGGAGAGGAGAGCGGAAUUCCACGUGUAGCGGUGAAAUGCGUAGAUAUGUGGAGGAACACCCGUGGCGAAAGCGGCUCUCUGGCCUAUAACUGACGCUGAGGCGCGAAAGCGUGGGGAGCAAACAGG
rnacentral:rRNA from 1 species